UACGGAGGGAGCUAGCGUUGUUCGGAUAUACUGGGCGUAAAGCGCACGUAGGCGGCGCCGUAAGUCAGGGGUGAAAUCCCGGAGCUCAACUCCGGAACUGCCCUUGAAACUGCAGUGCUAGAAUCUUGGAGAGGCGAGUGGAAUUCCGAGUGUAGAGGUGAAAUUCGUAGAUAUUCGGAAGAACACCAGUGGCGAAGGCGACCCGCUGGACAAGUAUUGACGCUGAGGUGCGAAAGCGUGGGGAGCGAACAGG
rnacentral:rRNA from 1 species